AGUGAACGCUGGCGGUAGGCCUAACACAUGCAAGUCGAACGGCAGCACAGUAAGAGCUUGCUCUUACGGGUGGCGAGUGGCGGACGGGUGAGGAAUACAUCGGAAUCUACUUUUUCGUGGGGGAUAACGUAGGGAAACUUACGCUAAUACCGCAUACGACCUACGGGUGAAAGCAGGGGAUCUUCGGACCUUGCGCGAUUGAAUGAGCCGAUGUCGGAUUAGCUAGUUGGCGGGGUAAAGGCCCACCAAGGCGACGAUCCGUAGCUGGUCUGAGAGGAUGAUCAGCCCCACUGGAACUGAGACACGGUCCAGACUCCUACGGGAGGCAGCAGUGGGGAAUAUUGGACACUGGGCGCAAGCCUGAUCCAGCCAUACCGCGUGGGUGAAGAAGGCCUUCGGGUUGUAAAGCCCUUUUGUUGGGAAAGAAAAGCAGCAGGUUAAUACCCCGCUGUUCUGACGGUACCCAAAGAAUAAGCACCGGCUAACUUCGUG
rnacentral:rRNA from 1 species